rnacentral:lncRNA from 1 species
AUGUGUCUCUUGGUGUUUACCUCCAAUGGCCAUUCUGUGAAAGUGUCCCAUUCUAGAGCUGAGAAGAGACAGCAGGACAGGGAAUCAUCUGCUAGUGUCGCGUCAGAUGUCUACAUGUCCACAAGUUGUUUAAGAAAAAGUAAGAUACGACUAUUGCAAACACAAGGCAAGAAGUUAUCAGAGAUGAACCCUUCAUCACCGAGUUCAAAACCAGAUGGCCUGCUCUCUUCUGUGUUUCUGAGAAUAAAUUUAAGAGGACUACAACAGUUUGCUGCAACAGUUCUUCUCCAUGCUGGAUGGUUAUUCUUCAGACCUGAAAACGGUGUUUGGCAAGGAAGGCGGCAUUCAAGGACAAAAGAUUAAGAGCAUCAUGGUUCCCAUAACCCAGACUAACUCCAUUGAUGUCAGAAGAGUACAUCCUUUAAGCCCAGUGUGUGUUCCUCAAUGAAGAUCCUGGCAACCUUGUGAAAGAAUGGAUGGUAAGAAUGUUUUUUUUUUUUUUAUUUCAUGUAAGUUUAAAAUUUCAAAGUGAUUUAUAUAUGCUUUAAAAGUUGAAGUGUUAUAUAACAUCAUCCGCUUUUUUAAUUUUACAUUUCAGAUCGUGGACGCCUUGAAGAAGCCAUGAUAGAGACAAUUCUUGAAGUUUUUGUCAUUCACAAAGAUGCAGAGGCAGAUGAUGACCCUGAAGAUGUAGUCAUCGUUUCAAGUCUUGGAUGAGUUGGGUAGUGUCCCACUUGAUGUGUUGUUGUUGUUUGCUCUUGUUAUAUGCUCUCAACCUCAGCUACCCUCCACUAAAAGUUGUUUGAAAUAUUGGCCCAAUGCUGUAUGUACAAUACUGGAUGUUAGUGACAUUUUGUAGCUGCCUUUGACAUUUGAAAGCUGUUUUAUCGUUUUUAUGAAGCUUAUAAAGUAUUCUAACCAGUCUAAAUCCAAUGUGCUUUGUGUCUUCUCCAACCUACACACCAGCUGGGGAUAUAUGUUAGUUUGCAUAAUAGAAAUACUGUUUCAAAGAUUACUUUAUUUGUAUGUAACUUUGAAAAGCUAAUGUUGGCACAAAACAUUUGAUAACUUUACAUUGGUUGUGUUAGUAUAGCAUAAUUUAUUAAUUAAUUUAAAUUAACUUGUUACUACCCUAUAAAAUUAAGUAACAAGUAUUAAUAUUAUACAUGAUCAAAUAACCCAAGAAAAUUAUGUUCAAUCAACCCUAAAAACAUUAGUGGGACUGACCCAUGGUCAUUAGGUAACAUUAACAUGAAUAUAUCAUGUUGCUUCACCCUGUUUACAUUUGGUUCACUAAGCGAAAUAGCUUCUUGCUAUCUUAACGCAUUUUAAUUAGAUGGAAAUACUUUCCAUAAUUUUAUUAUGUUCAUCCAACAAGUUUUUUUUUU